UUCAUUAUCUGACACUCAUCAAUCCUUAGGCUGUUGAACUCAUGCUUGUCGAUGCACUCAUUGAGGCUAAUGACUACUUGGGGAUAUCAUUGCAUGCACACGACCCAGAAGAUUUUUGGAAGUUGGAUGACACAAUCAUCAAAACCAUUGAGACUGCUCCCAACAAUGAACUGAAAAAA